rnacentral:rRNA from 1 species
AUUGAACGCUGGCGGCAUGCCUUACACAUGCAAGUCGAACGGCAGCACGGGAGCUUGCUCCUGGUGGCGAGUGGCGAACGGGUGAGUAAUACAUCGGAACGUACCCUGAAGUGGGGGGAUAACGCAGCGAAAGUUGUGCUAAUACCGCAUACGAUCUGUGGAUGAAAGCGGGGGAUCGCAAGACCUCGCGCGAUUGGAGCGGCCGAUAUCAGAUUAGCUAGUUGGUGGGGUAAAGGCCCACCAAGGCGACGAUCUGUAGCUGGUCUGAGAGGACGACCAGCCACACUGGAACUGAGACACGGUCCAGACUCCUACGGGAGGCAGCAGUGGGGAAUUUUGGACAAUGGGCGCAAGCCUGAUCCAGCCAUGCCGCGUGAGUGAAGAAGGCCU